UAGCCAGCAGCCAAACCUUUAGU
rnacentral:miRNA from 12 species